rnacentral:lncRNA from 1 species
GACAAUGGAAAAAUUCUGGAAAAAAAAAACUCUCUCAAAAAAUAAGAUUGCAUAGUUCAAUUCUCUUCAUAUUCAAAAUACAAAAAAACAACAAAAACCUUCAGAAAAAGCGAAAAAACACAACACUGUUGCAUUGGAAACUUUUAGGCUAAUUUUGGUUUUCUAGUUCUUGAUUCACAUCCUUUGGUUUCUGAAAUUUAGGGUUUUAAUUCAAGUGAAUCUGGGUCUAAUUAAGUGGUUUCUGGGUGAGUUUUGCUCCACUGAGAUUUCAGGGUUAGUUCGAGUUGAUUUCGAGUGAUUUUUGGUAUGUUUAAGCUUGUUUAGGUUGAGUCUUUAUCUGCUGAAAGUUUCAGAAGUGCAUUGUGUUCAUUUUCGAGUCUAUUCGAGUGGUUUUGAUGCUGUCCUGGGUUUAUUGGAGUGGUGUUGCUCGAUUUUAAAACACUCCUGGGUUCUCUAUGUGUUUUUCUAGGUUCAAGCUUAUAUAAUUUUGUGGCUGUUGAGUUCACUUUACUGUUGUUUGUUCCUGCUGCUGAUCCCUUUCCUUUCCUCCAUCUCACUUCAAUUUCAUAUACAUGUCUUAAACCAUGGAGAUGUAAUUUUCAGAGUAUGGAAUGAAAUCUCUUGUUCUUCAUCGA